AGUGAACGCUGGCGGUAGGCCUAACACAUGCAAGUCGAACGGCAGCACAGUAAGAGCUUGCUCUUACGGGUGGCGAGUGGCGGACGGGUGAGGAAUACAUCGGAAUCUACUUUUUCGUGGGGGAUAACGUAGGGAAACUUACGCUAAUACCACAUACGACCUACGGGUGAAAGCAGGGGAUCUUCGGACCUUGCGCGAUUGAAUGAGCCGAUGUCGGAUUAGCUAGUUGGUGGGGUAAAGGCCCACCAAGGCGACGAUCCGUAGCUGGUCUGAGAGGAUGAUCAGCCACACUGGAACUGAGACACGGUCCAGACUCCUACGGGAGGCAGCAGUGGGGAAUAUUGGACAAUGGGCGCAAGCCUGAUCCAGCCAUACCGCGUGGGUGAAGAAGGCCUUCGGGUUGUAAAGCCCUUUUGUUGGGAAAGAAAAGCAGCAGGUUAAUACCCCGCUGUUCUGACGGUACCCAAAGAAUAAGCACCGGCUAACUUCGUG
rnacentral:rRNA from 1 species